UAUUUCUUUUCUUUAUUUUCCUCGCCGUUUCCCUCUUCCCCGAGACCUUCUCCUCCCUCGCGCCCACAAACCUUCUGCCCUAACCGGCCACGGCGGCUUUCCUCCUCUCCCUCGCGUGCAUAAGGCCGGGAUCAAGAGAAGACGGUGUUCUCUUCUCCCUCUCCGCAGCCGACGCCUUCUUCUUACUAUUUUCCCCAGCGCCGGCGACGAUCUGUCACUGCCGAUCCACUGUCGCCUUCCAUCUUCCUCGUGUCUUCCUCGCCGACCGCGGCCAUGCCCUAAUUGGCUGAGCCGUUUCUCCUCAGCCCUAGUUCUUCGGCCGAUUCCUCCUCCCCUCUGGGCUCACGACACCGCCGACCUUCCUUUUUGCCCUAGCCGACGCUGUGCUCUAGUUUGUGUUCACCGCCGAGACUCCUCUCUGCCCUAGCCGAGCCCUAGGUACCGAGUUCUUUCUUCCCUUGUCACGCUGCCCUCUUCAUCUUCUGCCGACGCCAUCUGUGCCUAAAUCCCCUCUGCCCUAGUUCCUUACUGCUGAGCCAACAAGGUGUAGGGUUUAGCGGAUCACUGAUUACGAGGGUAAUCUUGUGCUGUUGAUUGUUCUUGGGUCCGGCAGCCACUUUCCAGCAGCUAUUUCUUUUGGCAGCAACCAGUUUUAGCUAUGAUUUGAGGACUUGACGCGAGACGAGUAUCUCGGAGUCAGAUUUGGACCAGUUUGGACUUUUCGAUUGG